UGCGUAGGCGGCGGGGAAAGUCAGAUGUGAAAUCCGGAGGCUCAACCUCCGAAUUGCAUCCGAUACUCCCUCGCUAGAGAUUUGUAGAGGAGCUUGGAAUUCUCGGUGUAGCAGUGAAAUGCGUAGAUAUCGAGAAGAACGCUCGCAGCGAAAGCGAAGCUCUGGGCAACAUCUGACGCGAUGCACGAAGCGUAGGGGAGACGAAACG
rnacentral:rRNA from 1 species